rnacentral:lncRNA from 1 species
CAUCAGGAGAGCUUUGGGCUGUUACCGUCUUCCGUUCCUCUCAAUGUGCACUUCUCUUCUAUCUGCAAUUUUUGUCCAAAAAAUUGCUCUCUUGUAAUCAUCUCUGCUAUUCUUUUUGCUUUUAUGGAUUACCACAUCUUUAUAUUCCUUUACUAUGAUGUUUUGUGGUCUGGGGAAGGAGAGAAGGAUAAGGGCAUAUCAGAUUUGAAUGAGACCUUGGACAAUAUAUGAGAUACUCAACAAAAAUCUCUACUGAGUGCAGAAUCACUUAAAAGAAGUAUUCUGUUUCUUCAACCAAAAUCAGAAUGAUUUUAUUCUCUGACAUUUACCCUUUAGACA